GAAAUGCGAUAAGUAGUGUGAAUUGCAGAAUUCAGUGAAUCAUCGAAUCUUUGAACGCACAUUGCGCCCUUUGGUAUUCCAAAGGGCAUGCCUGUUCGAGCGUCAUUUGUACCCUCAAGCUUCGCUUGGUGUUGGGCGUCUUGUCUCCAGUUCGCUGGGGACUCGCCUUAAAGUUAUUGGCAGCCGGCCUACUGGUUUCGGAGCGCAGCACAAGUCGCGCUCUCUUCCAGCCAAGGUCAGCAUCCACAAAGCCUUUUUUCAACUUUUGACCUCGGAUCAGGUAGGGAUACCCGCUGAACUUAAGC
rnacentral:misc_RNA from 1 species